ACACCACUGCUUACAGCGUGGCAAUGCUCAACACUGCUUACAAUGAGGCAAUGCUCAACACUGCUUACAAUGAGGCAAUGCUAAACACUGCUUACAAUGAGGCAAU